rnacentral:rRNA from 1 species
UACGUAGGGUGCAAGCGUUGUCCGGAAUUAUUGGGCGUAAAGAGCUCGUAGGCGGUCUGUCGCGUCGGCUGUGAAAACUCGGGGCUCAACCCCGAGCCUGCAGUCGAUACGGGCAGACUAGAGUGCUGUAGGGGAGACUGGAAUUCCUGGUGUAGCGGUGAAAUGCGCAGAUAUCAGGAGGAACACCGGUGGCGAAGGCGGAUCUCUGGGCCGUAACUGACGCUGAGGAGCGAAAGCAUGGGGAGCGAACAGG